GACGAACGCUGGCGGCGUGCUUAACACAUGCAAGUCGAACGGUGACGAGGAGCUUGCUCCUCCGAUCAGUGGCGAACGGGUGAGUAACACGUGAGUAACCUGCCCCAGACUCUGGGAUAACAGUUGGAAACAGCUGCUAAUACCGGAUACGAGACGGAGAGGCAUCUCUACCGUCUGGAAAGUUUUUCGGUCUGGGAUGGACUCGCGGCCUAUCAGCUUGUUGGUGAGGUAAUGGCUCACCAAGGCGACGACGGGUAGCCGGCCUGAGAGGGCGACCGGCCACACUGGGACUGAGACACGGCCCAGACUCCUACGGGAGGCAGCAGUGGGGAAUAUUGCACAAUGGGCGAAAGCCUGAUGCAGCGACGCCGCGUGAGGGAUGACGGCCUCGGUUGUAAAUUACUUUCUAACGGGACGGAGUAAUGACGGUACCGUACGAAGAAG
rnacentral:rRNA from 1 species